rnacentral:rRNA from 1 species
UACGUAGGUGGCAAGCGUUGUCCGGAAUUAUUGGGCGUAAAGCGCGCGCAGGCGGCUUCUUAAGUCUGAUGUGAAAUCUCGGGGCUCAACCCCGAGCGGCCAUUGGAAACUGGGGAGCUUGAGUACAUAAGAGGAGAGUGGAAUUCCACGUGUAGCGGUGAAAUGCGUAGAUAUGUGGAGGAACACCAGUGGCGAAGGCGACUCUCUGGUCUGUAACUGACGCUGAGGCGCGAAAGCGUGGGGAGCAAACAGG